UUUCUUUCAAGUGUCUGCCUUAUCAACUUUCGAUGGUAGGUUACUUGCUUACCAUGGUUGUUACGGGUAACGGAGAAUCAGGGUUCGAUUCCGGAGAGGGAGCCUGAGAAACGGCUACCACAUCCAAGGAAGGCAGCAGGCGCGCAAAUUACCCACUCCCGGCACGGGGAGGUAGUGACGAAAAAUAACAAUACGGGACUCUUUUGAGGCCCCGUAAUUGAAAUGAGUACACUCUAAAUCCUUUAACGAGGAUCAAUUGGAGGGCAAGUCUGGUGCCAGCAGCCGCGGUAAUUCCAGCUCCAAUAGCGUAUACUAAAGCUGCUGCGGUUAAAAAGCUCGUAGUGGAUCUCAGUUCCAGACGAGUAGUGCAUCUACCCGAUGCGACGGCUCGGACUGAACAUCAUGCCGGUUCUUUCUUGGUGCACUUCAUUGUGUGCCUCGAGAUGGCCGGUGCUUUUACUUUGAAAAAAUUAGAGUGCUCAACGCAGGCGAGUCGCCUGAAUAAACUUGCAUGGAAUAAUAGAACAAGACCUCGUUUCUGUUCUGUU
rnacentral:rRNA from 1 species